CGGGCUGUGGCUCAGUGGUAGAGCGCUCGCCUGGCACACGUGAGGCACUGGGUUCAAUCCUCAGCACCACAU
rfam:Ictidomys tridecemlineatus contig003534, whole genome shotgun sequence.